UGCCGACCGGGUGCCUGCACUAAGUUCGGCAUCAAUAUGGCGACCUCCUGGGAGCGGGGGGCCACCAAGUUGCCUAAGGAUGGCUGAACUGGCCCAGGUCAGAAACGGAGCAGGUCAGAAUUCCUGCACUGACCAGUAGUGGGACUGUGCCUGGGCG
rnacentral:SRP_RNA from 1 species